rnacentral:rRNA from 1 species
AGUGAACGCUGGCGGUAGGCCUAACACAUGCAAGUCGAACGGCAGCACAGUAAGAGCUUGCUCUUACGGGUGGCGAGUGGCGGACGGGUGGGGAAUACAUCGGAAUCUACUUUUUCGUGGGGGAUAACGUAGGGAAACUUACGCUAAUACCGCAUACGACCUACGGGUGAAAGCAGGGGAUCUUCGGACCUUGCGCGAUUGAAUGAGCCGAUGUCGGAUUAGCUAGUUGGCGGGGUAAAGGCCCACCAAGGCGACGAUCCGUAGCUGGUCUGAGAGGAUGAUCAGCCACACUGGAACUGAGACACGGUCCAGACCCCUACGGGGGGCAGCAGUGGGGAAUUUUGGACAAUGGGCGCAAGCCUGAUCCAGCCAUACCGGGGGGGGGAAGAAGGCCUUCGGGUUGUAAAGCCCUUUUUUUGGGAAAAAAAAGCAGCAGGUUAAAACCCCGCUGUUCUGACGGUACCCAAAGAAUAAGCACCGGCUAACUUCGU